rnacentral:rRNA from 1 species
UACAGAGGGGGCAAGCGUUGUUCGGAAUUACUGGGCGUAAAGGGCGCGUAGGCGGCCUGUUAAGUCGAACGUGAAAUCCCCGGGCUCAACCCGGGAACUGCGUCCGAUACUGGCAGGCUUGAAUCCGGGAGAGGGAUGCGGAAUUCCAGGUGUAGCGGUGAAAUGCGUAGAUAUCUGGAGGAACACCGGUGGCGAAGGCGGCAUCCUGGACCGGCAUUGACGCUGAGGCGCGAAAGCCAGGGGAGCAAACGAG